rnacentral:rRNA from 1 species
ACUCCUGCGGGAGGCAGCAGUGGGGAAUUUUGGACAAUGGGCGAAAGCCUGAUCCAGCCAUGCCGCGUGCAGGAUGAAGGCCUUCGGGUUGUAAACUGCUUUUGUACGGAACGAAACGGCCUUUUCUAAUAAAGAGGGCUAAUGACGGUACCGUAAGAAUAAGCACCGGCUAACUACGUGCCAGCAGCCGCGGUAAUACGUAGGGUGCAAGCGUUAAUCGGAAUUACUGGGCGUAAAGCGUGCGCAGGCGGUUAUGUAAGACAGUUGUGAAAUCCCCGGGCUCAACCUGGGAACUGCAUCUGUGACUGCAUAGCUAGAGUACGGUAGAGGGGGAUGGAAUUCCGCGUGUAGCAGUGAAAUGCGUAGAUAUGCGGAGGAACACCGAUGGCGAAGGCAAUCCCCUGGACCUGUACUGACGCUCAUGCACGAAAGCGUGGGGAGCAAACAGGAUUAGAUACCCGGGUAGUCCCA